rnacentral:rRNA from 1 species
UGGGGAAUUUUGGACAAUGGGCGAAAGCCUGAUCCAGCAAUGCCGCGUGUGUGAAGAAGGCCUUCGGGUUGUAAAGCACUUUUGUCCGGAAAGAAAUCCUUGGCUCUAAUACAGUCGGGGGAUGACGGUACCGGAAGAAUAAGCACCGGCUAACUACGUGCCAGCAGCCGCGGUAAUACGUAGGGUGCAAGCGUUAAUCGGAAUUACUGGGCGUAAAGCGUGCGCAGGCGGUUUGCUAAGACCGAUGUGAAAUCCCCGGGCUCAACCUGGGAACUGCAUUGGUGACUGGCAGGCUAGAGUAUGGCAGAGGGGGGUAGAAUUCCACGUGUAGCAGUGAAAUGCGUAGAGAUGUGGAGGAAUACCGAUGGCGAAGGCAGCCCCCUGGGCCAAUACUGACGCUCAUGCACGAAAGCGUGGGGAGCAAACAGGAUUAGAUACCCUGGUAGUCCACGCCCUAAACGAUGUCAACUAGUUGUUGGGGAUUCAUUCCUUAGUAACGUACUAACGCGUGAAGUUGACCGCCUGGGGAGUACGGUCGCAAGAUUAAAACUCAAA